rnacentral:sRNA from 1 species
GCUUGUGGGUGGCAUGGCCUCAGGUGGAGAGGCUUGCUGCGGACUCAGGCUGGCAAACAGCCCUGGCGAACAACGGGCGGAGGGGAAGAUGUCUUUCAAGUCGGUAUUUACUCUGAACUGAGGGAAGAAAAGAACGGAGGCCGCGUCAGGCUGAGAGCUGCUCUGCGGCGGCCAGAGAGGGGAUCCCAGGUUCUUAAUGGGCGGGGUGGCGGUAGAAAUGUCUUUUUCUAUUGUGUCUGAGACGGGUAAUAUUGGGGAGGGGGAGAACAAGUAUUAUCCCACGCAGUACACCCCAAUCUCCCAGUCCAUUUCCUAAUCCUUAAACUCCGGUUUCAAACUCCCUCACUUUGCUCUUCAGUUGCAGGUUCCGAUCUUUGGGUACUCCAGGAGCUGCUCUACAGCCCCUGCUUCUGGACCUAUGGAUUCUCCAUCUAGCGUUUCUUCCUAUUCCUCCUACUCUCUCUGUUCGUCUUUUCCCAUCUCCCCAGUGAACAGUGACUUUGGCUUCCCCUCUGAUAGUGAGAGGGAGGACAAGAGGGCCCAUGGGCCCAGGCCAGACACUGUUGGGCAGAGGGGAGGUUCACGGCCCAGCCCGGGUCCUAUCCGCUGCAGGCAUCGAUCGAAGGUUUCCGGUAACCAGCAUACACCAUCUCAUCCGGAACAGCGGGGUUCGGCUUCUCCUAUGGCAGGAUCUGGGGCGAAAAGAUCAAGAGAUGGUGAACUGGAGACCAGUCUAAACAUCCAAGGUUGUACCACAGAGGGAGACCUGCUGUUUGCCCAGAAGGAUUAAGCAGUUUUCAGCAGAGUGUGGCAAUGGACAGGAUCCAGCGUAUUGUAGGUGUUUUGCAGAAGCCACAGAUGGGGGAACGUUACCUAGGAACCUUGCUACAGGUAGAAGGGAUGUUAAAGACUUGGUUUCCACAUAUAGCUGCCCAGAAGUCAUCAUUGGGUGGUGACAAGCAUCAGCUGACCAAGGUAAGAACUUAAGAACACGAGGAAGAGGUGGGAAAAUAGCCAAGAAAAUGAAAUGUGCAUGCAGAAAUGGCCCCUUUUGCCAUUUUCUUUUGAAUCUUUUCUUCAAGUUUCUUUUCAGGGAAGAAAAUUCCUAAACUUUCUGCAUUGUCUUGAUUCCUACAUGUUUUUGUUGUUGUUGUUGUUUUGUUUGAAUCACUGGGAGGAACUCCAUGAAGUUUAAUCCUAUCCCUUGUGCCACAGCUUAUCUGUUUUCUGCAUAGAUACAAAAGGCUUUUUACCUGGCCAAAUGAUUCAUGCAGGAAGACACCUCAGCUUCUCUCUUUUCCCUACUGCCCCCAAACCCUUCCCCUCUCCUUCUUUUCAUUUCUGCCCACGUAUCCUUGUGCCAAACCCUUUGACAGUUUUUGAGUCUACACUGGGUUUCAAGGACUGGUCCCUCACUGGAAGUGGGGGAGGGGGGCACCAAUAGCAGCAAUGUUGAUAGCUUCUUAGACCUGGUAUUGAAGUGACCUAUUUUCAGCCAGGAGCGGUGGCUCACGCCUGUAAUCCCAGCACUUUGGGAGGCCGAGGCGGGUGGAUCAUGAGGUCAGGAGUUCGAGACCAGCCUGGCCAAGAUGGUGAAACCCCGUCUUUACUAAAAAUACAAAAAUUAGCCAGGUGUGGUUGCGCACGCCUGUAGUUUCAGCUACUUGGGAGGCUGAGGCAGGAGAAUUGCUUGAACCCGGGAGGCAGAGGUUGCAGUGAGCCGAGAUCGUGCCAUUGCACUCCAGCCUGGGAGACAAGAGUGAAACUCCAUCA